rnacentral:tRNA from 1 species
GGGGAUGUAGCUCAGUUGGUAGAGUGCUUGCUUCACAUGCACCAAAGACCCUGGGUUCAAUCUCCAGCAUCAUUU